GUACCGCUGUGAGCACCCAGGACAUCUGCAGCUUCAGGGCUGACGGUUCUCUCGCAGCUCCAGUCCUGUACCUCAAUGCAUCCAGUGCUCAGGAAGGGGACGUCGUCCAGGCUCGAUGUGUCCUUCAGAAGCUGGUUCCUGCUACCCGAAUUAUCUUCUGCAAGGAUGGGUUGAAGAUGUCUGUCCUUAAAGCCCAAGAGGGCGGAGCUAUCAACUUCAUCCUGCUGAACAUCACUGAGGGAAGCACUGGGACAUACACGUGUUUGUACCAGCAGAAGAAUGAGAUGAACAGACAGAGAAACUCUCCACUCAGUCCUCCCCGCAAACUGAAUGUCACAGGUGCCUGCAGAGAGAGAUGCCAAAGGCAGCAGAAUGAUCCCAGCCAGCAGAUGGAAGCCACUGAGUACGGAGAAAUACAGUAUGCCACCAUUGCCCACGUUCAAGGGCACAAAGUGAGUUGGGUCCCUCUCCCCCUGGAAAUGAAGUUCCCUAGACGUGCAAUUUUCUUGCUUGUACAACUUCUCAUGUAUCUCCUUCCCUUCCCUUCCCUUCCCUUCCCUUCCCUUCCCUUCCCUUCCCUUCCCUUCCCUUCCCUUCCUUCCCUUCCCUUCCCUUCCCUUCCCUUCCCUUCCCUUCCCUUCCCUUCCCUUCCCUCCCUUUCCCUUCCCUUCCCUUCUCUCCUUCCCUUCCCUUCCCUCCCUUCCCUUCCCUUCCCUUCCCUUCCCUUCCCUUCCCUUCCCUAGCAGAAAUAUGGCAGAUCAUGAGAUACGUUUUCCAGCCACGAAUCACACUCUCCUCUUCGACCUCCCCUUGUUGCGCAGAGCUGCAGCCCCUUCUUUGCAGCUGCCAGAACUCUGUGAUUCCUCCUCAGAAGCUCCAUAAAUGGUUCCAUCCCAAAAGCUGGAAGAACAUUUCUGAGUGCUUUUAAAGAGUCUGGAUAGGAAGAAUCUCUUUAACAACCACGAAGAAGAAAGAGGCUGUCCAGCAAGCGAUUGCUGCCCCAAACCUGCUCUUAUCUUUGCAAACUGUCUCCUGACUGCUACAGCAACGUGCAUGGAUCCUUCAGGUGUGCCUGGAGCCUCCUGGUGCAUAUUAGGAAACAAGAACCGAUUUAUUUCACGGUCAAUAGUAAAGAGUUGUAUUUAACCAUCUGCCCACCUCUUUGCUUUUGUGCUCAUUGGCUUUUGCCCUUAUGCAUCACACAGUGGAAACGUUCAUCUUUGCACCCAUGCAAUGUAGCUUUUUCACUGACCGACCUCAGCUCAGGUCACAGAGAUACUUAUACAUCCCCAUUAGAUGCAGGAGGCGUUGAGUGAGACCAGCCCUGAUGCACACAGCUAUGGAUAUUUCAGAUAUCCACGUCCCUGCACGGAAAAAUUUUGCUUUAAUAUUGAGGCAUUUGCAUUACACAUUGAAAUGGUUCGACUACCUCGAGGUUGUCCAAGAGAUAAGAAAACCCAAAGACCACACACAGCCCCUGAUAAACCAAAGCACAGCCUUCAGAUCCUACCGGGUAAUUAAACCCUAUGGGGAUGUGCAGCCCGCUGCUGGGUUUGCUUUCAUUUUCACUUUGUUCUGCUGCUUAAUGAAUAGCAGAAGUAGUGACGGAACAAAGCCAGUCUCUGCAACACAGAGACACAGGAGAUCUCCAUAGUCUUCCCAGCUGAAUCUGUUGUACUCCUAAUGGACGAAUGCAACCUGACAAUGCCCGUCUUUCCAUUGGAGCUGUGGCAGAAUCCUUGU
ensembl:lncRNA